rnacentral:lncRNA from 1 species
GACGGCACCUCAUAAACUGAGGUGUUCAAUGUGACUAAUGGUUGCUUAACCAUCGUAUUAUUCAACACCAUGGUAGCUUGCACAUCCUCGAUAAUGUUUUCCAUGUGAGGGCUGGAAAAAUGCAGUGUGGGAGUAUUGGAACUGCCAAGUGUAGUUUGCUGCUUCAACCUUUUCUCCACUAUUUCAUUGCUGCUAUAUUUUGCACCUAGUUCCAG